rnacentral:pre_miRNA from 1 species
UAGACAAAUUUUUGUAUUCGACUGUAUUCACGGUGUGAAACAGGGGAUUACAACUGUCUUUAAACGGAAAGUGAAUCAAUUAACAUAAUAGACACCU